AAUAUUGGACAAUGGGGGUAACCCUGUCCCAGUCUUGCCGCGUGUUUGAAGAUGAUAAUCUGUAAGUAAAGAAUUUCAUGUAGGGAGGAUGGGUUGUUGGCUAAUAUCCAGCAAUUUUGCCAUUCCCGACAUAAUAUGCUCAGGCUAACUCUGAGCUCGCAGCCGCGGUAAUACAGAGGCUGAAAGUGUUAACCGGAAUUACUGGGCGUAAAGCGCGCGUAGGUGGUUCAGUAACAUGGGUGUGAAAUCCCCGGGCUUAACCUGGAAACUGCUUUCAUAACUGCUGAGCUAGAGUACGGUAGAGGGUAGUGGAAUUUCCUGUGUAGCGGUGAAAUGCGUAGAUAUAGGAAGGAACACCAGUGGCGAAGGCGACUACCUGGACUGAUACUGACACUGAGGUGCGAAAGCGUGGGGAGCAAAC
rnacentral:rRNA from 1 species